rnacentral:tRNA from 1 species
GCAGGGGUUCCCGAGCGGUCAAAGGGGAUAGGUUCAGGGCCUAUUGGUGUAGGCCUUCGAGGGUUCGAAUCCCUUCCCCUGCAC